rnacentral:rRNA from 1 species
GGACCCGCACAAGCGGUGGAGCAUGUGGUUUAAUUCGAUGCAACGCGAAAAACCUUACCUACUCUUGACAUACUUGGGAGCUCUUGUAAUGAGAGUGUGCCUUUUGGAACCAAGAUACAGGUGCUGCAUGGCUGUCGUCAGCUCGUGUCGUGAGAUGUUCCGUUAAGUCGGAUAACGAGCGCAACCCUUACCCUUAUUUGCCAGCGAUUCGGUCGGGAACUAUAAGGGGACUGCCGGUGAUAAACCGGAGGAAGGUGAGGACGACGUCAAGUCAUCAUGGCCCUUACAUCCUGGCUACACACGUACUACAAUGCUACGGACAAAGGGCAGCAAGUUCGCGAGGACAAG